rnacentral:rRNA from 1 species
GGACUACCCGGGUUUCUAAUCCCAUUCGCUCCCCUGGCUUUCGUUCCUCAGCGUCAGUUACAGCCCAGCGAGUCGCCUACGCCACCGGUGUUCUUCCCAAUAUCUACGCAUUUCACCGCUACACUGGGAAUUCCACUCGCCUCUACUGCACUCCAGUUCGCCAGUAUCCAAUGCACUCCCAGGGUUGGGCCCCGAUCUUUAACAUCAGACUUAACGAACCGCCUACGAACUCUUUACGCCCAAUAAAUCCGGACAACGCUUGCAUCCUACGUCUUACCGCGGCGGCUGGCAC